rnacentral:misc_RNA from 1 species
GGCUGCAUUCAUGCAGCCAUGCACGCAUGUGCUUGUGCGAUUUCCAGUGUGAUUCAAAUGUGGAUUUCGAUCGCUGACUUGAUUGAAUUUAUGUAACAAAUGAGUAUUGUACAAUACUGUGUUUUCAUAUUUAAAUUGCUGUAAAACAGUUUAUCUCAGGGAAGUUUUCUAAAUUUGAAUUGAUGUGUCUUUUAAGUAACUAUUCAGAAGUGUCUUGACAAAUUUAAAGUAUUCUGUUGUCAGUAUUUUAAUCUAACUGCAUAUACGUUAUGACUAGAUUAAUGCACUUAUGAAUAUACAGGAAAGUUUGAAUUAUAUGCAGAUCUAGAGGGGCAAGGGGGGACCAGAUCCCCCCCUUAAAAUUCUAUCUUUAAAUUAACAUUAUAGAAUUACCCAAAAUGUGCCUGCCUCAGACCCCCUCUUUAAAAAACUAAAAAAUAACCGUCAUAAACCCCCCUACCCCAGAAAAUUUUUCUAGAUCCACGCAUGUGAAUUGCCACUAUUUUUUAGUUUUCUUGAAUAGUGUAGAGUGAGGAAAAAAUUAAAGACAAUUACUGAAGAAAAUCAGAGCUAAAACUGUUGUAUUAAAUAUUCAUAGAAUGAUUAGACAACUCAAUACUGUUCAUAUAUUUGCAGUAUUAUAAAUAAAUUGCCAAAUUUUAAUCAUUACAUAAUGAAUUUCUUGUCUUGCAGGUUCUAUUAUUUAAUUUUAAAAUUAUUGUUAAUGAGAUUUGUGUAAAUAAAAAUACUGCUUUAUUGAUGAAAAAGAAUAUGAAUUUGCUAAUCCAGUCUUGCAUGAUGAAAUGUUUCAGUAAUUUAUUGUGAGAGAAUGUUUAGUGUUGUAUCAGUGCAAUUUAAGCUCUCUGUGGUGGUAUUUUUGUAAAUGAAUGUUCAAGAUGCAUGUAUAUACAAAACUUAUUUAAGACCUGUUACCUUUUUUACUUCAGGCCAAAAUAAGUAAACAGUGUGUUUCCAGGUCCCCUACCAUCUCUACAUUUUACGGUAUAUGAUAUUGGCAAUGACAUCUCUUCCUGGGAGAAAAUAAUUUUUUGACGUUUCAUGGUCUCUUCAAAUGUUGAAGGUAACAUAGAAAACAAAUCUGUAUUCUGUAUCUUUGUAACGUUCUUGAUGGACCCAAAUUGGAAAACAAUUGUUAAAACACGAAAUGUUUUCCCUACCUUAUACCAAUUUUCAUUUUCAGUUAGGAAUAGGAAAUGCACUGUUUUAGGCCAUGGAGACCUUUUUUAAAAUUUGAAUACAAUUAUAUUACGUAUUCUAAAUUAUAUCUAUGGUAAAUCUUCUUGUUUAUUUAUGGUAAAUCUUCUUGUAUGCAUGAAGUAUUUGUAGUCAGAUCAAAAUUACAUGCAUACAGAUGUAUUAUGUAUAGUGCAUGUACCAAUAUUUUUAAUCGUACAUUUGGUCUUUUUUCAGAUUCUCUUUUUCAAGACUGAUGGUAUAAGUGAAUAGAAAAAAAUCUAUAUUAAAUUAUUUGUUUUUAUUACUUGCAAAGAAUAGCAUCACUUUUAUUUUUAUGGGUUGUUCUAUAUUGAAAUGCACGCCUAAUGAAAUGGAUAUCUAAUUCUGGACAGACUUCAUGAUUUGUUGAUUACUAUGAUUAUAUGUAUUUAAUAUGUUUACAGCUGUUAGUACUUUUUGUUGAAAUACAGAGCUACUUGUGUACUUCUAC